AUGUUAGCUUUUCCACAUAUCAACAAGUCGUCAGCAAACAUUAACGAGUGGAUAGGAGGGCAGUUUGGACCUAAGGAUAUACCUGAGAGCUGGUUGGCUUGUAGUGCAUUCUGUAGGGCCAUUGAGAGCUCAUUAACAACAAGGACAAAAAGAUAUGGAGACAAAGGACAUCCUUGUCAUAUACCCCUAGAACUUUUGAAACAUCCAAAAGGCUGCCCAUGUAUGAUCACAGAAAAAGAGGGAGAAGAAAUGCAAGCAUAUAUAAGAUUAAUGAAAUGGCUAUGCAACCCCUUACGUGCAAGAGCAGAGCAAAUGAAAUUCCACUCGAUUCUGUCAAAAGCUUUUGCAAGAUCGAUUUUAAGCAUGAAGUCAUUGCCUUUAUAG
rnacentral:rRNA from 1 species